UAAUAGGUGUUUUUUAAUACCACUUUAAAUUCAAUUUACAAUAGUAU
rfam:Erinaceus europaeus unplaced genomic scaffold scaffold00389, whole genome shotgun sequence